UACGUAGGGUGCGAGCGUUAAUCGGAAUUACUGGGCGUAAAGCGUGCGCAGGCGGUCUGUUAAGACCGAUGUGAAAUCCCCGGGCUUAACCUGGGAACUGCAUUGGUGACUGGCAGGCUUUGAGUGUGGCAGAGGGAGGUAGAAUUCCACGUGUAGCAGUGAAAUGCGUAGAGAUGUGGAGGAAUACCGAUGGCGAAGGCAGCCUCCUGGGCCAGCACUGACACUGAGGCACGAAAGCGUGGGGAGCAAACAGG
rnacentral:rRNA from 1 species